rnacentral:rRNA from 1 species
CGGGUGAGUAACACGUGAGUGACCUGCCUUUUAGACUGGAACAACUUACCGAAAGGUGAGCUAAUGCCGGAUGAGUUAUAUAAGUGCAUGUUUAUAUAGGAAAAGUUGGGGAGACCUGACGCUGAAAGAUGGACUCGCGUCCCAUUAGCUAGUUGGUAGGGUAAUGGCCUACCAAGGCGGCGAUGGGUAGCCGGCCUGGAGAGGGUGGCCGGCCACCACUGGGACUGAGACACGGCCCAGACUCCUACGGAAGGCAGCAG